CUUGGUCAUUUAGAGGAAGUAAAAGUCGUAACAAGGUCUCCGUAGGUGAACCUGCGGAGGGAUCAUUACAGAGUUCGUGCCCUCACGGGUAGAUCUCCCCACCCUUGUGUAUCUCCGUAUUCUUGUUGCUUUGGCAGGCCGCUGGGCUUCGGCCUGGCCACCGGCUCUGGGGCUGGUGCGCGCCUGCCAGAGGACCUCUCAAACUCGGUUUGUUACUGUCGUCUGAGUACUAUAACAAUCGUUAAAACUUUCAACAACGGAUCUCUUGGUUCUGGCAUCGAUGAAGAACGCAGCGAAAUGCGAUAAGUAAUGAGAAUUGCAGAAUUCAGUGGAUCAUCGAAUCUUUGAACGCACAUUGCGCCCCUUGGUAUUCCGAGGGGCAUGCCUGUUCGAGCGUCAUUUCAACCCUCAAGCUCUGCUUGGUCUUGGGCCUGGCCGCGAUGGCCGGCCUUAAAAUCAGUGGCGGUGCCGUCGCAGGCUCCAAGCGUAGUACAUCUCUCGCUCUGGAAACCCGGCGGUGCCUGCCAGGCAACCCCUAAUUGUCUCUUACGGUUGACCUCGGAUCAGGUAGGGAUACCCGCUGAACUUAAGCAUAUCAAUAAGCGGAGGA
rnacentral:sRNA from 1 species